rnacentral:rRNA from 1 species
UACGAAGGGGGCUAGCGUUGCUCGGAAUCACUGGGCGUAAAGGGCGCGUAGGCGGAUCUUUAAGUCGGGGGUGAAAGCCUGUGGCUCAACCACAGAAUUGCCUUCGAUACUGGGGAUCUCGAGACCGGAAGAGGUGAGUGGAACUGCGAGUGUAGAGGUGAAAUUCGUAGAUAUUCGCAAGAACACCAGUGGCGAAGGCGGCUCACUGGCCCGGUACUGACGCUGAGGUGCGAAAGCGUGGGGAGCAAACAGGG